UUAUAAUUAAUUAUUACAUGUACAUUGCGAACCUCAAAUCAUUGUCUUUCUCUCUCUCGAUCGAAAAUAUAAAAAUAAAAUAAAAAAAGAAAAAGAGGAAAAGCUGUGGGAAGAAGAGAGAUUGUUGAAGAAGACGAGACGAUGGGAUUGGCCGGUGUCUGCAACUCCAUCACCGAUCCCAAAAGAAAUUGGGUGUCCCUGCUGAUUUGCUUUCUCUUAUUACUAGCUAAACCCCCCAGAUGGUGUCUGCUCAUUUAGAUGGGGAAACUAAUGUGAAGAUCAGAAAGGCAUCUGAAAAGACUUCGGAUUGUUGAACUCCAGAGAAAGUGUCUGAAUUUUGGUUGGCAAGGAGAGCAAGUUACCUUCAUGCAUGCCUAAUGUGUGCUCACUUUGCAAAGGAAUAGUUAUUACAGUUGGUCUUUGGCUUCCCUUUCUACACACCAGAAGACAUUUCAUGGAUGUUUAAAUAAGAAAAUGUGGCUUUUGAGGUAAGCAAGUGACUCCUUUUUGUAAGUCAGUGAAGGAAGCUACAGAGAAAGUCAUGAUUAUGUAGUUGCUGAAAAUCUAUGUACUAUAACAUUAACUAUCUGAAUUUUUUAUUUUUGUUGAACCACAUGAGCUAUGAUAGUCAUAUUAGUCUUUGCAUAGUAAUAUUAUCCAUUGUACUAAAGAAAUUGGGUUUUACAGCAUGUGAGAUGUGUUACGCAUAAAAUUGAUAGAAAAGAAGACAUAGAACUUCAGAAAAGAUAACAUAACAAGUUUGCUGUGUACAUAUGAUAUCUAAAAUUAUGUACCUUCUAAAAUGUAGCAGUAUGCUAGCUCAUAACCGGUUUCAAGUGAGUUUUGACCGUUAAUAAAGCUUUUGAGCAACUAAAAAGAUGGUCUAAAUAGAGACUUAACUUAAGCUUUGUGAGUUUAGAAGGUGAUUUGUCCAAAGUUUUACACUAUUUAAAAAAUCCUAAUGAAAAGCUUCUUAGGCAUAAUACAAUUAUUAUGGUUUCCAUUUGAAAUGCUGGACAUAAUGGAACUACCCGGGUUGCAUUCAGUAAUUGUAAUAGAACCUUGCUUAACUUGUUU